rnacentral:misc_RNA from 1 species
AAUUCUCAACCUUCCAGCUUUUAUUAGCUUGGUUAGGCUUGGAUGUGGGGGUUGCAGGCUUCACUCAUGAGGUCAGCUCUCCUUAAAUGCAUUAGCGGAACUUUUGUGGACCGUCUUAUUGGUGUGAUAAUUAUCUAUGCCAUGGAUGUGAAGCAGCUUUAUGGAGUUCAGCUUCUAACAGUCCAUUGACUUGGACAAUUCUGACA